AGGGGGGCGCAGGGGGAUUAUGGGUACAAAAACACAGGCAGAGGUAGAGCGCGCACCCGCGGCGCGUGUCUUACGGCGACGCCCCUGGCAACAGCCUCUCCAGCUGAUGCAGAAACGGAAAGCAUCCAUAUGACCGCGGGGCAUGAAUACGACGGCGCUAAAAACACAUAACCGAGAGGUGUGUUAUUUACGGCGGGCGAAGGCUCUUAUGAUUGUUCUUGCAGGGGAUUCGGAUGGGGAACGUGUAACAGAUGGCCUGUUAACAACAUCAGGUGAGCCGCGAGCCUCCCAGAAGAACUACCUGAGAACGCAGAGACGCUCCGAGUCGGACGCUUUUAGAAACCAGACAACAGACCUUCCCUUAAGAGCCGCGCGGUGCAAAACUCAAGAGCUGCCAGAUCUGA